rnacentral:rRNA from 1 species
UACAGGGGGUGCAAACGUUGCUCGGAAUUAUUGGGCGUAAAGCGCGCGUAGGCGGCCUUUUAAGUCGGAUGUGAAAGCCCUCGGCUCAACUGGGGAAGUGCACCCGAAACUGAAAGGCUUGAGUACUGAAGAGGGUCGCGGAAUUCCCAGUGUAGAGGUGAAAUUCGUAGAUAUGGGGAGGAACACCGGUGGCGAAGGCGGCCAUCUGGACGGAUACUGACGCUGAGACGCGAAAGCGUGGGGAGCAAACAGG